GAAAUGCGAUAAGUAGUGUGAAUUGCAGAAUUCAGUGAAUCAUCGAAUCUUUGAACGCACAUUGCGCCCUUUGGUAUUCCAAAGGGCAUGCCUGUUCGAGCGUCAUUUGUACCCUCAAGCUUUGCUUGGUGUUGGGCGUCUUGUCUCUAGCUUUGCUGGAGACUCGCCUUAAAGUAAUUGGCAGCCGGCCUACUGGUUUCGGAGCGCAGCACAAGUCGCACUCUCUAUCAGCAAAGGUCUAGCAUCCAUUAAGCCUUUUUUCAACUUUUGACCUCGGAUCAGGUAGAGAUACCCGCUGAACUUAAGC
rnacentral:misc_RNA from 1 species